AGGGGUGUAGCUCAAUUGGUAGAGUAGCGGACUCCAAAUCCGUUGGUUGCGGGUUCGAAUCCUGCCACCCCUGCCA
rnacentral:tRNA from 3 species